GACGAACGCUGGCGGCGUGCCUAAUACAUGCAAGUCGAACGCAGUGGGGACGGGUGAGUAACACGUGGGUAACCUCCCCAUCAGAGGGGAUAACCCUUGGAAACAGGUGCUAAACCGAUACUGAUGGAUGGACCCGAGGUGCAUUAGCUAGUUGGUUAGGUAACGGCUCACCAAGGCCACGAGGCAUAGCCUACCUGAGAGGGUGUUCGGCCACACUGUGACUGGGACCAGGCCCAGACUCCGACGGGGGGCAGCAGUAGGGGAUCUUCGGGAAUGGACGAAAAGCUGAACGAUCAACGCCGGGGUAAGGAAGAAAGUUUUCGGAUCGUAAAACUCUGUUGUUAGAGAAGCGGGAUCUAACCAGAAAGCCACGGCUAACUACGUGCCAGCAGCCGCGGUAAUAC
rnacentral:rRNA from 1 species